rnacentral:rRNA from 1 species
UACAGAGGGUGCAAGCGUUGUUCGGAAUUACUGGGCGUAAAGCGCGUGUAGGCUGCGGAGUAAGUCGGAUGUGAAAUCCCUUGGCUUAACCAAGGAAGUGCAUCCGAUACUGUUUCGCUUGAGUGUCGGAGGGGAUGGCGGAAUUCCCGGUGUAGAGGUGAAAUUCGUAGAUAUCGGGAGGAACACCAGUGGCGAAGGCGGCGAUCUGGGUGGAUACUGACGCUGAGGUGCGAAAGCGUGGGGAGCAAACAGG